GGGGCAAUAGCUCAGUGGUAGAACACAUGCUUGGCAUGCAUGAGGUCCUGGGUUCUAACCCCAGUACCUCCA
rnacentral:tRNA from 1 species